rnacentral:misc_RNA from 1 species
AGGCUUAGUUGUUGUUGUUGUUAUCAUCAUGUUCAUUAUUUAAAUAGUCAUAAAAUUAGCACUAGUAACCUCAUUGUCUCAACUAUGUUUUAUCAAUAUCCAUGGCUCAAUAUAUAUGAUCAAAUAUAGAUAUUGAUAAUGCAAGUUUUUCCUUAUCAAACUUCAUGUCUUUUGCUAAUCUGAAGAGACGAUCUGUUAUUCUAUUGAUGCAUGAUAAAGGAAUAACGAUCACAUUAUACUUUCCUGCUAACUAAAAUCUAAUAUGCUUUUGCGAUUACUGAUUGCAUCAAAGUAUUGAGUGGCACAUCUAGAAAGGAAAUGGAUUGUGACAAUUUAAAGAUAGAAGUCUUGGUAGAGACAUUAAUAGUUACUCCCUACAUUGAAGUUUGUGAUUUUAUUGAUAACCCUAGCACAUAUUUGAACUAUGAAAUUUAGGGGAAAGAAAUAUAAAGGAACAGAAUGCCAUUAUUACAUUGUGCUUUUAGUAGGGAUAAUAUUUUUUGGAAGGAUUUCUUCAGGUACAA